AGAAGGCAAGACAAGAGAAAAAAGAGUGAAAAGAAAUGAACAAAGCCUCAUCAAUGUCAGCUUUAUUCAUCCCAUUUCAUCAUUUAAAUAUCUCCACUCUCCUGGGACAUUUCCCUUGACUCUUUCAUUUGUCUUUUCUCAGUUUCUUGUGAAUCACCCUAAUUUUCUCAGCAUUUGUAAAGCCCAUAAAGGUAAACUAAGGUUACAAAUUUGAUGAAGUUUCUCUUACUGUUGUUUGAUUUUAUAGCAGUAAGAUUAUAUGGGGUCCCAUGCAAAAGUGUUCCCCUUCAAUCUUGGUAUUUACUAUGACCUGGGUAAGGGCUAUAUUUAGUGGAUAAAUAACCUGAUCAUUAUAAUGCUAAUCCAACAUGGCUUGCAUAUGACGUAUAUCACUCCUUUAUUUGGAAAAUUCCAUUUGGCAUUGUUUUGGAUGAAAACAAUCCCCCUUCUCAAUGUAAACACAUUUUGCAGUAGCUUUUAUUCAGUCUACCAGGGUACCUAUACCUGCUAUGUGUCUGGAUGAUACACAGCUAUCUACAGUGUUCAAAAGAGAGCUAUGGAUUUUACAGCAACUCAAACAUGUUCUUCUAAUCUGCAGUUUUCAAAGCCAAGGAUGCUGCUGCUAUGUUAGUCAGUUUCACAAUCAUUUCAGUAAAGGCUUUACAAAAAAUUGAUAGUAAUGAUUCACAAAAUGAAACUCUUUCACAUUAUCCCUUGGUUUCAGUAGUUUCUUAGUUUUACCCUCUCUCUACCUGGACAAACUUCCUAGUGACCAGAGGUUGUAGACAUGACGUCUGUUGUCCCAACAUAAUUUGUCUCUUAUUUCUUAUUAUUUUGCAUUUUCUUGCAUAUGAAAUAAGCCAACUCCUUGGGAGCUCAGUCUACUACUUCUAAAUUUCAUUGAUUACUUUUGCCACUAGUAACCGAUCACAGUACAGCUAUAGUUCCAUAACCUGGAUGACCAGAUAGCCACCCAGAAUUAAAGGUUUAUCAAUCCCUGCCUUCUUAUCCUUUCUCUAUCCAAAUCACGUACUUCAGUGAGUCAGGGUUGAUCUAGUGAAUCCUGGUCCAGAGGCCAACUGCAAAAGUUAUGCAACUGUGAAGUUGGGAGAAUAGAUCAUAAGGCCCCCUCACUUCUGAUACCAGUUGCAAGUUUGAAGAUCAGCAGAGCACCCUCAGUUUCAGUCAUUCACUAGAAAGACUAACGUAACUCACUUAAAUCUAUUAUACUCACAGGCAAAUAAAAAUCAGCCAUGGGAAGAGACACAUAGGACAGAAUCCAGGAAAGUUACAAAAUGUGAAGCUUCUCAUGCAGAAGCUUCUUAUCCCCAUGGAGUAAGGAUAGCAUUGCUUUCCUGGUAUAGGUGCAUAAUAAUACACACAGAAUACCAGCAACCAGAGAUGUCCAUCCAAUUCUUGGUGUCUAAAGUCUUUAUUGGGACUCAUCACGUCGGCAUGCUUGGCCUCCCAUUGGCUGAUGUCAGUUUCCAGCCCCCCAGGAGGUCAACUAACACACUGUGAGGUAAAGCUCUCACCCUAAAUCACAUUGUUGGUAGGGCUCAAAGCCCCCACCAUAAAUCACGAUGUUACUGUCUGGCUCACCCAAGGCCCCAAGGCAAACAAAGCCACUCCUACCAGGCAGGACAUUCCAAGGGCUUGCAGGCCACCUCCUAGAAUCAAAGGAAAAAAAGACAAGGUUAAAUUCUUUACUACAUAGCAGUUCUCAAGUAUUAUUAAAAAACAGCCAGAAAAACUGCAGAACACAAUUUAACAGUAUUUUCCUCUUUUUUUCACACAAGCUUAUGGCCAAGUGAAGGGUCCAAACUAUGGCCUGGGUACAACAUGUGGCUCAUUCUGGGAACCUGACUUUGAUAAGAAGACGAAGAGCUUUGUGAAUUGAAGUAAAUCACAUGAGAAUCACUGACCUGGCCUAGAAAAGUUUGGAUUUCUGUGAAAGAGUAUUCCACCACUCCUAAAACAAUCUGCAUUCGGCUGCAGUUUCCCACUUUUCACAUAGGAGAGCAAGCUUUCUCUUGUUUGAACAACCAUCAAGAACUGGAAUAUUAUCUCAUUUCAGGGAUUCCUGGAGACCUGAAAAUUAACUCAAGCAUUCCUUCAAAGUAGAAGAUUGAGAAUGGAUUAGCACGUACUGCCACUGUGUCAGUAUGACUUGGGUUUCUGUGCUUUCACAUCUGCUCACGUUCUGAUCCCCAAGGACUGUGAUAAGCAAAGGUCUACUGACCACUGAUCCCAGGCUACUCAAAAGGGAGGAUCCAUUAUGACAUCAUUUUGCACAAGUAGAGCACUAGUGCAUAGCUGGGUAUCAGCUUCACUGCAGGACUGAAACAUGACUGCUAGCUCCCUGUAUUCUUAUGAGCGCCUUCCAUCAAAAAGCUCAGAAUUGCUCUUAAAUGAGGUAAAUAUACUAUGUGCUGAUUCAAAAAUAUCUGAGACAUAUUAACAGGAAGAACAACUUAUCAAAUGGAAUAUAGUGUGUAAAUGCAUUUAUGUAAACACAUUAAGCUAUAUAGGUACUGUCAUUCAUCACUUAGCCACCAGGAAAAUUUUGAGAAACCUGUUGUUAGGGAAUUUCUUUGUACAAACAUCAGAGUGUAUUUAUACUAACCUAGAUACAUAGGCUACUACACUCCUAGACUAUAUGGUAUAGUCUAUUUGUCCUAGGCUACAAACUAUACAGCAUGUUACUUUACUGAUUACUAUAGGCAACUGUAACACAAAUCACUAGACAAUGGGAAUUUUUCAGCUUCAUUGUAUAUGUGGCCCAUCAUUGACAGAAAUGUUGCUGUAUGUGGGCUGACUGUAAUUGAGUUUCUAGUGAUUAUGUAUUCCAAGACAUAGAGGUGAAGUUAAAGAUUUUAAUACUGUAAUAUUAAUUAUAAUAAGAAACAUUUAUUUUGGUCUUCUUCCCUGGUCACAGGUUGAACAGAAGUCAUGAAACCUUUGCAAUUUCCCAAUUGAUAAAAGUGCUAGGAGCGUAUUUUGUUCUAAUGAGGUGACUCUUGCUGGGUUCCUUAAUGAGGGCUGGCCACUAAGAAGAUCAAGGCAUGAUUAGAAGCUUGGAACCUUUAAUCUCAUCCCCCAUCAUCAGGUAGGGCAGAGGAACUAGAGAUUGAUCAUUCUUAUGUGAUAAAGCCACCAAAAAAAUCUCCAAAAGGCAGGAUUCAGAGAGGAUCCAGGUUGGUGAAAACAUCCUAUGAGCAAGGAGGGGGUGCACUCCAACUCCGUGGGGACAGAAAUUCUGUAUUCAGGACACUUCCAGACCUCCCUUUAUAUAUCUCUUCAUCUGGCUGUUUAUCUCUGUCAUUUAUAAUAUCCUUAAUAAUAAACUGGUAGACGUCUUUCCCUGAGUUCUGUGAGCCAUCAUAGCCAAUUAUCAAAAACUUGAUAAGAAGGGAGUCAUGGGAACCCUCCAUUUGUAGCCAAGGCUGAUGGAUAUGUGGGUAACCUGGGGAUUUGCUGCUUGCAAUUGGCAUCUGGAGUGGGGACAGUUUUGUGGGACUGAGCCCUUAACCUGUGACAUCUGCACAAAUAUGACAAUUGGCGUCACGAUUGAAUUAUAGGAUGCCAAGCUGGUGUCCAGAGAGUAGGAAAAUUGGUUGGUAUCAGGAAAACCCCCACACAUUUGGUCACAGAAGUGCUGAAAGUGUUGAAUGUUAUAGAGAAAACCUUUGCUUUCCUCUUUAAGGUAAACUGGUGAGAGAACAGAAGGAAAAAAAUUGCUUCUUUAAAAGUGAUAGAAAGGAAAGGAAUUUAAAAAACCCUGCAAAAUAUAGCAAAUGGGAUGACAGCUGCUGUAUA